GCAUAGGAAUCUGCCCGGUAGUGGGGAUAACCUGGGGAAACCCAGGCUAAUACCGCAUACGCCCUACGGGGGAAAGCAGGGGAUCUUCGGACCUUGCGCUAUCGGAUGAGCCUAUGUCGGAUUAGCUAGUUGGUGAGGUAACGGCUCACCAAGGCUGCGAUCCGUAGCUGGUCUGAGAGGAUGAUCAGCCACAUCGGGACUGAGACACGGCCCGAACUCCUACGGGAGGCAGCAGUGGGGAAUAUUGGACAAUGGGCGAAAGCCUGAUCCAGCCAUGCCGCGUGUGUGAAGAAGGCCUGG
rnacentral:rRNA from 1 species